CAGGUGCCCGCGGGGCGCACCCGGCCCCGGGCCGCGAAGGGGCGGCCGAGGAGGCAGGCUCAACCGGGACCCUGCCCACAAGAGACUUUGAAUCCAAGAGGAGACACUAGCCACGCGCCCAUGAGGAGGAUCCAGUCGUUCCAUAAAAAGGAGUUCCUACUAUGUGCCAGUCUCCAGAGCUGGCAUUGAAGAAGCUCUCAAAAUCCAAACUCCUUAAUAAAGUCGUCUCUUCCUACCAAA